rnacentral:rRNA from 1 species
AUCGAGUCUUUGAACGCAAGUUGCGCCCGAGGCCCUCGGGCUAAGGGCACGCCUGCCUGGGUGUCACUAAUCGUCGCCCCGACCCCAGCGCCUCCUCCGGGGCGCUGCGCGGGGCGGAUGCUGGCUUCCCGCGAGCGAGCGCCUCGCGGUUGGCCGAAAAUCGGGUCCGUGGUCGAGUGCAGCGCCACGACGGAUGGUGGUAGAGCGCGAAAGGUCUCGAGGCCAGUCGUGCGCGCCUCUCUGCCGGUUACGGACCCCCGCGACCCUUCGAGCGGCGCCGAUCGCCCAUGAUGCGACCUCAGGUCAGGCGG